rnacentral:lncRNA from 1 species
GCCCAGACCCGCCAUACGUCUAAAACAUAUAAGGCGUCUAAAAACAACAAUAAAUAAAGCGGUAAUAAAAGACAACUAGGAGUAUCAGAGCAUGAUAUAAUACUAAGUUCUACAAUAGAGAAAGGAGCAUAAAGCUGGAAUCCACUAAUAAAAGCAUAAAGUAAUACAAAGAAAAUUCCAAAUACAAGUGCUAAAAGUAGAUACAUAGGUGGUCUCUAUACAUGGAUACAAAAUCUCUCACUCUCUCAACUACAAAAAGAAAGAGUAAACCACCUAGGCAAAGAACCGCUCCUCGCUAGCUAGCUAUGCGAUCCCCUUGCCGCGAUCCCGUGCCUCCGCCGAUGCAGAAGGCUCUGAAAGAAACCACGAAAAAGAGGGCGUGAGAACUAUUAAAAAUAGUUCCCAGUGGGCAAUUACUGACUUCAGUGAAUGCACCACAAGGCCCAAAGCUACAAAGAAAGUGGUCAGUAGCUAUAAAAGCAAUAAGGCGUAAGGUAAGUAAAAGUGUAACUUACUAUAACCAGAUGUCUCUACUUAGCAUGAUAGGCAUAAGAAUAAGCAACUAUAACAUAAAUGUACAUGGAUGUGUAUACAUGAAUACCCAUAGGUAUGCAACCAAUACGAUGUCCUCAAUGCAAUUAGUAAAGAUGU